ensembl:lncRNA
GGAGUGACUGGUAUGGUAUGUCAGGGCUUUGCAUGAGGUAAGAGUGAAAGGAGAAAGAAAAGGUGUAAGAGAAAAUAUAAAUUAGAAAAGAAACAGGAUUGGAAAGUGGAGGAAAAAGAAAGAUGAAAAAUUAAGAUCUAAGACAACUGAAAAGAAUGAACUAAUAUAGUUUUAAUAUAGCAGAUGGAGAACUGACAACGCAUGACUGCACAGCUGUGCUCAGGGCCACGUGUGUGCGGCCACGACUCCGGUCCUGCAUCAGGAAGCGGAAGAGGGAAGAUCUGGAUGGGACUGAAGCGGAUGAGAUGAAGAAUCUCUCGAGUGGAAGAAUACACAAUCCCUCCAAUGACCUCCGACGGCUGCACAUAAGGUAUGGCGUCAGACCAUGGGUGACCAGCCAGAGAGCACGCCGGGCCUUCGAGACAGCCACCAAGAGUCUGACUGACACAGAAGUAUCUUGCAAUAUAUCAGAAGUAAACAUUACUGCGUGAAGCGGGCGGACAACGCAGUGAGGGCUAGUCAGCUCCUGGAUUCGCUGGCUGGUCAGUCAACCACUGAUCCUUCAGAAGGGGAAUCCAGCCUGUAGCAUUGCUCGCGGUGCUGCCCAGCAGAAAGCAGACACGACGGAUCUGCAAACGGAUCUUGAGGCAGCGUACGGCCGACUUGUCGAACAGCACCCGGUGACUCUGGGGGGUGAGGCGCCAGAUAAGACUCUGCGUGCUGAAAUCUCAGCUAGCUUUCAGCGGAAGCUGUACGAGCGAUUGUUUGAAGGCACAGAUGAAACUGCACAAGCAGCAUAUUCACUUUAUUCACAAUGAGGAAAAGGUCAGCAAGUGGAGGACCAACAUACCCAGUGCAGCCCAGUUCGUGAAGAAUGGAAGCCCCCUGGAUCCAUGGACACAGCAAUGGACGCUAAACAAAGCCGGACACGCACCAGGACCCAGAAGUGAAAGGACUUCUUGUGACAGAAGAUGAAGGGCAAGGGCAUUAUUGCAACGUAAAGAUUUCUGGCUGUCGAGGUGGUGUGUGACCAUCACGGGCAGGUCAUGACAGCCUCAGAGGGACACAGCGCUCACAGCACUGUUUGCUGAGCGCAACAUUGUCCACUGCUUGCGGUGCAAGAAGCCACAGAAGCAUCUCGCUGGCCACCUGCUAGAGUGUGUAUGAAAGACAGCACAGCAGAAGAAAGGCCAAGGUAUCUUCCAGACGGUGUAUCUGCAGGAACAGGACCUGGGACUACCGCCAGCUUUGUUCUAUCCUGCCCCACAGUCCGUGUGCUUCUUUACUGGUGGAAGAGUUUCAGAGGCGUGGGUUCUUUAUCACCAACAUGCCACAAGAGUCAGACAUGGCUAUGGACUCCGGUGAUGCCGCCUCCUCACAACAGGGUUCGCCUUCUGAUCAGAGAAAUGGAUAUGGUGAGUGUUCGCACCCUGGCACUGUACCAGGCCAUUUUGGAGGUAGCCAGGAUCGACUUCCUGAUAAUCUUUCGGAAGCUGGUCUCAAGCACAGAGGUCCUCUCGACAGAGGAGACCGGCUAUCUCCGCUACUGCACGUCACUUUUGGUGUCGCGUCACUUUCAGUGCCCGGCAGCUGCGCAAGGCCUGACCAGCGGGUCAACAGGAAGGAAGUUGACGACAGGGUGGUGAUUGGCUUCGGCCGAGACAGAACGAUGCAGCAGGCUGCCUGUUUUGCCUUUAAAUUUCCCUAACUUUCUUGUUAUUUUAGUAACGAGGGGAGAAGUUGUUAUUGCUUAAAUGAUGGUUUUGCUAUUUGUAAUUUACCUUACAACCUAAAAGAAAAAAUAAAAACAAAACACUGCUUGUAAACCUGUUGAUUUCG